rnacentral:rRNA from 1 species
UACGUAGGGACCAAGCGUUGUUCGGAUUUACUGGGCGUAAAGGGCGCGUAGGCGGCAAUUCAAGUCAUCUGUGAAAUCUCCGGGCUUAACUCGGAACGGUCAGAUGAUACUGCUUUGCUCGAGUGCGGAAGGGGCAAUCGGAAUUCUUGGUGUAGCGGUGAAAUGCGUAGAUAUCAAGAGGAACACCGGUGGCGAAGGCGGGUCUCUGGGCCGUAACUGACGCUGAGGAGCGAAAGCGUGGGGAGCGAACAGG